UUUCUCCAUCUAUUUUGUCAUAUCUCACAUCACACCCUAUCCUAGCUAGCUAACUAGCUAUUUCGUGUAAAAAUAAUCUUGAACUACAAUCCACAUAGAGUCUUAUCUAGAUAAACAAGAGAGUUUCUAUUUUUGCUCAAUACAUUUAUUAUUUUAGUAUUACCCUGUAACAUGGAAAACUUGUUUCUGUAACCAAAUACAUUUAUUUGAGUGAGGCUAGAGACAAGAGAUUUAUAUGUUCCUUCCUUGUCUUAUGUUUUAAGUUUUUCGUAGUUUCUUCGGUUAGCUACAUAUGGCUUCUCAUAAUCUUGGAAUGGUGGGGUAAUAAUGAAAAGAGGAUUGAAGGGGCUCACUUCAGUCCAGUUCGAGGCGGUAGAAGAUGAUUGAAAUUCAGCUGCUGACUCGUUGAUUCAAGAGUUCAUCAUUUAAAUACGAUGUGUUUCUGAACCAACGAUGCAGGAGCUGCAUUCAAUUGUCACUGUCACGUCUUGGACUGAAGGGGCCUCUUCAUCUCCGGUAUAUCAAAACAUCUCUCCCAUUACAACAAGAAGGAAAUUCAUAUGGCUGUUGGGCGAAUGAGAGAAGCUAGUUGCAGCAGUAUCUCACUUUCAACUAGCUAAUACACUUUUUUUUAAAAGUCAAUUUGGUAAAUUUAAUUAGACAAUAUGUAUGUAUAUAUAUAUAUAUAUAUUUUUUUUUUUUCUUACAGAAAUGUCAAGAUAUAUUGUAAUUUUUGUUUAACAAAAGAAAAAAAGAAAUGUAGGGUGAGGAAUGAUGUUUCGGGGGAAUGGAUCCAAAUAUUGGAAAUCUGUGUCGUGCAUUCUGAUUUUAUAUUAGGAAAAUGCUAAAAUUUACUAAUAAAGUACUCCCUCUUUUAAUUAAA